rnacentral:rRNA from 1 species
CUCAGAUUGAACGCUGGCGGCAGGCCUAACACAUGCAAGUCGAACGGAAACAUGUCUAGCUUGCUAGAUGAUGUCGAGUGGCGGACGGGUGAGUAAUACUUAGGAACAUGCCUUUGGGUGGGGGAUAACUAUUGGAAACGAUAGCUAAUACCGCAUAACGUCUACGGACCAAAGGGGGCUUCGGCUCCCGCCCAGAGAGUGGCCUAAGCGAGAUUAGCUUGUUGGUGAGGUAAAGGCUCACCAAGGCGACGAUCUCUAGCUGUUCUGAGAGGAAGAUCAGCCACACUGGAACUGAGACACGGUCCAGACUCCUACGGGAGGCAGCAGUGGGGAAUAUUGCACAAUGGGCGCAAGCCUGAUGCAGCCAUGCCGCGUGUGUGAAGAAGGCCUUCGGGUUGUAAAGCACUUUCAGUUGUGAGGAAAGGUUAACGGUUAAUACCCGUUAGCUGUGACGUUAGCAACAGAAGAAGGACCGGCUAACUCCGUGCCAGCAGCCGCGGUAAUACGGAGGGUCCGAGCGUUAAUCGGAAUUACUGGGCGUAAAGCGCACGCAGGCGGUUUGUUAAGCUAGAUGUGAAAGCCCUGGGCUCAACCUGGGAAUUGCAUUUAGAACUGGCAGGCUAGAGUUUUGGAGAGGGGAGUGGAAUUCCAGGUGUAGCGGUGAAAUGCGUAGAUAUCUGGAGGAACAUCAGUGGCGAAGGCGACUCCCUGGUCAGUAACUGACGCUCAUGUGCGAAAGUGUGGGUAGCGAACAGGAUUAGAUACCCUGGUAGUCCACACCGUAAACGCUGUCUACUAGCUGUUUGUGGAUUUAAUCCGUGAGUAGCGAAGCUAACGCGAUAAGUAGAC